AAGGCGUAGGCAAUCUUUAUCAAUAUAUAUCGUGAUGGGGACAGAUUAUUGCAAUUCUUAAUCUUGAACGAGGAAUGCCCAGUAAGCAUGAUUCAUCAGAUUGUGCUGACUACGUCCCUGCCCUUUGUACACACCGCCCGUCGCUCCUACCGAUUGAAAGAUAUGAUGAAUUGUUUGGACAAGAAAAAUUGAAUUAUAUUCUUUUUUACAUGGAAAAACCGUAAAUCCUAUCUUUUAAAGGAAGGAGAAGUCGUAACAAGGUUUCCGUAGGUGAACCUGCGGAAGGAUCAUUAAUAUG
rnacentral:rRNA from 1 species